rnacentral:rRNA from 1 species
AGGGAUUGCCCUAGUAACGGCGAGUGAAGCGGCAACAGCUCAAAUUUGAAAUCUGGCCUCACGGUCCGAAUUGUAAUUUGUAGAGGAUGUUUCUGGCGACGUGUCUUCCGAGUUCCCUGGAACGGGACGCCAUAGAGGGUGAGAGCCCCGUCCGGUCGUACACCUAGCCUCUGUGAAACUCCUUCGACGAGUCGAGUAGUUUGGGAAUGCUGCUCUAAAUGGGAGGUAUACGUCUUCUAAAGCUAAAUACCGGCCAGAGACCGAUAGCGCACAAGUAGAGUGAUCGAAAGAUGAAAAGCACUUUGAAAAGAGGGUUAAAUAGUACGUGAAAUUGCUGAAAGGGAAGCGCUUAUGACCAGACUUGGGCUCGGUGAAUCAUCCGGCGUUCUCGCCGGUGCACUUUGCCGUCCCAGGCCAGCAUCAGUUCGCGCCGGGGGAUAAAGGUUUCGGGAAUGUAGCUCCCUCGGGAGUGUUAUAGCCCGUUGCGUAAUACCCUGGCGUGGACUGAGGUCCGCGCUCUGCAAGGAUGCUGGCGUAAUGGUCAUCAGUGACCCGUCUUGAAACACGGACCAAGGAGUCGUCUUCGUAUGCGAGUGUUCGGGUGUCAAACCCCUACGCGUAAUGAAAGUGAACGUAGGAGAGAGCUUCGGCGCAUCUCCGACCGAUCCUGAUGUUCUCGGAUGGAUUUGAGUAAGAGCAUACGGGGCCGGACCCGAAAGAAGGUGAACUAUGCCUGUAUAGGGUGAAGCCAGAGGAAACUCUGGUGGAGGCUCGCAGCGGUUCUGACGUGCAAAUCGAUCGUCAAAUAUGGGCAUGGGGGCGAAAGACUAAUCGAACCUUCUAGUAGCUGGUUUCCGCCGAAGUUUCCCUCAGGAUAGCAGUGUUGAACUCAGUUUUAUGAGGUAAAGCGAAUGAUUAGGGACCCGGGGGCGCUUUUUAGCCUUCAUCCAUUCUCAAACUUUAAAUAUGUAAGAAGCCCUUGUUGCUUAGUUGAACGUGGGCAUUCGAAUGUAUCAACACUAAUGGGGCAUUUUUGUUAAGCAGAACUGGCGAUGCGGGAUGAACCGAACCCAAGGUUAAGUUGCCAGAGUAAACGCUCAUCAAACACAACCAAAGGG